rnacentral:rRNA from 1 species
ACAAGACGAGAAGACCCUAUGGAGCUUUAGACGCUAGCCAACUAUCGACAGGCGACUGGCCACUAAACAGACCUUAAAUACCCGUUAGUUGUGGUGAGGCAGUCUUAGGUUGGGGCGACCACGG